CGUUAAACAGUGUAAAGUGUCACUGUAUUUCCCUGUAGAGGACUCCAACUCCGGGACGUAACAGUCUGCAGCUGCAUGUGAUGCUGUGACAUCGGACACAGACAGUGCGUUUACUUGAAACUCGCCAACCUUGUGGUGCAUUAUUGUUAUUACAUUAUUAAAGGGCCCAUAUGGUGAAAAUGGGUUUUUAUGGGAUUCUGUGUUUCAUAUUGGCUCGGGGUUUAAAUUAAAAGCUGUGAAAAUGUGAAAUCGCUCACUGCCGCCAUUUCUCCACCCCCCACAAAACUAGACCGCCUUCCAGCUAAACGGGCCAGUUAGAAUUUGAUGUAUUUGCUACGUAGAAACCGGGUAACCAAUGGGUGUCCUGUUCCAAAAUCGACCUAGCCCCGCCCCCUUUCCCAACGUUCGCUUCGUGCCGCUGAGAAGAAUCCAAGAAGAACCGGGAGUCAUGUCGGGAGUGAAGUCCUCCCUGAAAACUGGCCAUGACAAAUGCAUCAUUCCAGGGUGCAGAUUAUCAAAUACAUCACUGCACUGCCUUCCAAAAGACAAAGAUGUCGCUGACAAGUGGAUGGAUUUUAUUUUUGGAGACUUGCCUAAACCUGUGCCAAGUCAGGCUUUUCGGCUAUGUACUGCACAUUUUUCACAGCAGUUCGUACUGAAUCAGGGGCUUUAUGAUGCUGGAGUCGUAUCAAAAUUACUGUUGAUGAAAGGAUCCAUUCCAACUAUUCGGCACCCUCUCCCAAGCAUUGAAACGGGAGCCAUUAGACCUGUUUCCCAGGCCAGUACCUCCCGGAGUAUUGGCUGCCAGACUGACCCCCUUCCAAAAAGAUCUGUUGGAACCCAACUAUCCAAGGACACUCUUAAGACUCACAUCAGAAGCAGAGCUUCUCAGACAAGUGUGGUCUGCGAGAAUGUGUGGUCUCCCCCACUUCUCACCUCAACACCCUUGAAGCCCCUUCCACCCAAAAAGAGGCCGCGACUGGAACUAGAGGAGGAUGACGAUGAAUGGGAGGCCUCCAUUGAGGCUACUGACCCUAAUGACUCCACUUUCAUUCGAAGUGUAUCAAUGACAACAGAGUCAUCGACUGUAUCACAAGCCUCACUACCAUAUGAUGUACCUAAAUAUAUUGUAUAUGAAAACUGCCUCCUCGAGUUGUUUGAGUUAUGUCCAGUGUGCAGCUCCAUGUGUGACUUUCCUUGCUGUUGAUCAGACGUGCCACCGCUGUGAGUUCAACAGACAGUGGAAGAGUCAACCGUUCAUUGGAAGUACACCUGCAGGGAACAUUCAUCUCUCUGCAGCUGUAUAUUUUACAGGGACAUCUUUCAUCCAAAUGAAAAAGGUUUUCAAUGCAUUUGGUGUGAGGAGCAUGCGAUACCAAGCUUUCCGGAAACAUGCCAAAACCUAUCUAGAACCUGCCAUUGUUUGGAAAUGGAAAAGGGCCCAGCAGGUUGAGCUUCAAAGUUUAAGCCAGCAGAGCAAGGUUAUCAUUGGAGGAGAUAUGCGGGCAGAUUCUCCAGGCCAUUGUGCCAAAUUUGGAAGCUAUACUGUGAUGAAUCUUGAAACCAGCACAGUCAUCGAUAUCCAACUUGUGCAGAGCAAUGAGGUUGGAGGGAGUUACUACAUGGAGAAGGAAGGUCUGAAGCGAAGCCUUGCUCUUCUGGAGGCAAGUGGUGUCACAUUGGACUGCAUAGUCACAGACCGCCACCUCCAGAUUCAAAAAUACCUGAGAGAAAAGGGCUAUGUAAAUGAACUCAUCGCCCUCACAUUUGAGAGUGUUGUCCCUGACCCAGCACCUUUUACUGAAGAGCUGCAGAAGAUCACCAUUCCAGAGGAUCUUUGUGCUGAGUUCUCGGUGCCAUCCAUGGAAGAGGCCAUUGCAGGAUUUGUGUCACGCUUCAAUCCAGCACAGGUCGAAAACCAGUGUAGGUACUGUCUGCAUACUCUGUCCUUAUUCGAAGGACGACACAUGAAGGGAUAACAACCCUGACCCUUCGACCAAGAAACCCCCAGCACCAGCUGACAAAACUUCUUGAGGGGAGCCAGUCAGAGCUCAGGUGGACCGACAACCUCAACAACGGUAGUGCAAGAAGGAGCAACGGCAGAGUGAGGUGAGCCAGUCUGAGCUCAGCUGGACCGA